rnacentral:rRNA from 1 species
AUUGAACGCUGGCGGCAGGCCUAACACAUGCAAGUCGAGCGAGCGGCGGACGGGUGAGUAAUGUAUGGGGACUGCCCGAUAGAGGGGGAUCACUACUGGAAACGGUAGCUAAUACCGCAUACUAUCGGAUAACCCAUAUGGGAUUAGCUAGUAGGUGAGGUAAUGGCUCACCUAGGCGACGAUCCCUAGCUGGUCUGAGAGGAUGAUCAGCCACACUGGGACUGAGACACGGCCCAGACUCCUACGGAGGCAUCAGUGGGGAAUAUGGCACAAUGGGGGCAAGCCUGAUGCAGCCAUGCGGCGUGUAUGAAGAAGGCCCUAGGGUUGUAAAGUACUUUCAGUGGGGAGGCGUUACCGACAGAAGAAGCACCGGCUAACUCCGUGCCAGCAGCCGCGGUAAUUC